AUUGUUUAUAGUAAUAAAUAGGUAUAUUUUUUUCUCUUAUUUUUAACUCUAUAUGUAGGCUUCUCAUGGAAACAUUGUUUUAUUGAAAAUUUUUUUUUAAAUUUAAAAUUAACCUUAGAAGAAUAGAAAAUGUUGACAAAGAAAUUACGAGUUCAAGUAUUUAACGAUGGGAAUUUGUAACUGACAAGAGUGCGCAAUUAAUCAAUGUCGGAAUAUUGAGAAAUAAAGAUGUCUCCAAAUUUACGUUCUCACAUUAAUUUACAUAGUGAAUGAAAAAUUAG